GCGGGUCUUCAGGGCGGGGUGGAAGUCCCCACCGGCGGUAGGAACCAGGGUCAGGUCGGCCCCGGUUCGAGCCCGCGAGCGCCCAGGGUCCACCCCUGGGGUCAGCAGAUCCGGUUCAAGCCGGAGCCGACGGUCACAGUCCGGAUGAAAGAAGACAACG
rnacentral:ncRNA from 2 species